rnacentral:tRNA from 1 species
GGAUUGUGGCUCAGGGGUAGAGCUCUUGUCUUGCAAAUGUGAGGCACUGAGUUCAAUUCUCAGCACCA